rnacentral:lncRNA from 1 species
UUUUCAAAACUCCCUUUUCACAUGUUAAUCCAAAACUUGACAAAUAUUGUGCAAACAUUUUCAUCUCUUUUCAAAUUAGAAACCUAGGCUUUAGGCCUUUGAUUUUUCAAACUUCAUUUUCAUAAAUACUUCUUUGAAUCAAAUUCUAAUCAUACCUUGACCACUCUUUUGUGAAUAAAUCCUAAUUGGUUAACCCAACUCAUU